GCAAGUAGAACGCUGAAGGGAGAGCUUGCUCUUCUGGAUGAGUUGCGAACGGGUGAGUAACGCGUAGGUAACCUGCCUGGUAGCGGGGGAUAACUAUUGGAAACGAUAGCUAAUACCGCAUAACAGUAGAUGUUGCGUGACAUUUGCUUAAAAGGUGCAAUUGCAUCACUACCAGAUGGACCUGCGUUGUAUUAGCUAGUUGGUGGGGUAACGGCUCACCAAGGCGACGAUACAUAGCCGACCUGAGAGGGUGAUCGGCCACACUGGGACUGAGACACGGCCCAGACUCCUACGGGAGGCAGCAGUAGGGAAUCUUCGGCAAUGGACGGAAGUCUGACCGAGCAACGCCGCGUGAGUGAAGAAGGUUUUCGGAUCGUAAAGCUCUGUUGUAAGAGAAGAACGAGUGUGAGAGUGGAAAGUUCACACUGUGACGGUAUCUUACCAGAAAGGGACGGCUAACUACGUGCCAGCAGCCGCGGUAAUACGUAGGUCCCGAGCGUUGUCCGGAUUUAUUGGGCGUAAAGCGAGCGCAGGCGGUUAGAUAAGUCUGAAGUUAAAGGCUGUGGCUUAACCAUAGUACGCUUUGGAAACUGUUUAACUUGAGUGCAAGAGGGGAGAGUGGAAUUCCAUGUGUAGCGGUGAAAUGCGUAGAUAUAUGGAGGAACACCGGUGGCGAAAGCGGCUCUCUGGCUUGUAACUGACGCUGA
rnacentral:rRNA from 1 species